GAUUGAUUGGAGGAAUUUGUACGAGUUGCUUGAGGUGAAGCAGUUGGUAUUUCGGCAUGAAUAUUGUGAGUAGUAAUCUUACCACAAUUUGUGUUUUCAUAACCUGCAUGGUUCAUAUAUGAUUUUGAAAAUAAACGUAUUACUGAUGCUUUAAAAUUUGCAUGUGGGAAACAUCCUUUACUUGACAUGGUACUGAACAGUUUACUUGAGAUGUUUACCAGUUAAUCUAAACGUUUUUACCAUUACUAGAUAUGUUUUACCGUUACAUGAGAUGUUACAGUUAUUUGAAAUAUUCUCACUGUUACUAAACAUGUUUUACUGUUACUUGAGACAUGAUUACUGUUACCGAAAUAAAAUUACAAGAUUUGAUAAGAAACGAUAUGCCCUCUAUUAUUUUGAAAAUGCUUUUGUACGAGAAUUUACUAUUUACAAGAAAGACUAUAAAUGGGAGGAGACUUUGAAGGAUCCCGUAGCUAACCUACUGCUUACAAGAAAGAGUAUAAAUCGGAAUAGACUUUGAAUGAUCCCGUAGCUAACAGUGGGUUCGUUAGAUCUGGUGCACCUUGUAAUUACCGAUACCGUUAUAGCCCUCGCUAGUGCAAAGGUAGAACUAGCAUACCGUGACCGAUUUUUCCUGAGUAGGGACUACCGAUAUAUUUGACUUUUUGCGAAGAAGUCCGCAGUUAUACUGAUUACAUGAUCCCUUCAUUGAAACCUCCCAAAAUGUGAAUACUGAUAUUAUACAGUGGCUACCGAGCUUAUUACUGAAUUGCUAAUUAUAUUUUACUACAAGAAAAGCGUGAUGAGAUUGAAAAUUAUUUAUUGUUUCUGAAAGGGCAUUUUAUGUAUUUACUCUUGUAGAUACUUGCAUGUUUCUGACUUGUCCCCAAAUAAAAACAGUUGUGGUUAAGUGUUAUUACUCACUGAGCUAGCGACUCAUUCCCCACUAACUUUUUUU
rnacentral:lncRNA from 1 species